rnacentral:tRNA from 1 species
GUAGACAUAGUUUAACCAAAACAUUAGAUUGUGAAUCUAACUAUAGAAGCUCACCACCUCUUGCCUACC